rnacentral:rRNA from 1 species
UACGUAGGGGGCAAGCGUUGUCCGGAUUUAUUGGGCGUAAAGCGCUCGCAGGCGGUCCGAUGCGUCGGGCGUGAAAGACCCCGGCUCAACUGGGGAGGGUCGUGCGAUACGGUCGGACUCGAGGCCAGUAGGGGGACGCGGAAUUCCGGGUGUAGUGGUGGAAUGCGUAGAGAUCCGGAGGAACACCAGCGGCGAAGGCGGCGUCCUGGACUGGUACUGACGCUCAGGAGCGAAAGCAUGGGGAGCGAACAGG